AUGCAGAGUGAGGUGACCGCUCAAAACAGAGCGGCUUCGCCCCGGCUGGGUGCUGCUGAGUCGCCAGCUUCACCGCUCCGAGUGCGGUGGGCGCUGGCGAAGGCUAACGGCGAAAUGGCAGGCAGCGAGGCAGACAGCGUGGAGGUCGCCAUGUUGUACGGAGCGCUGGGGGGCGCCAUGCUGUACGGCGCUGCCGCCAGGACGGCGGUUUGGGGCGGCGCGCAGGCGCGGCGGUUAGAUUUGAAUUGUGAGGCGGCAGCGGCGGCCCAGCCCUAUGGGCGCUGCGGGGGUCAGCGGCGGAGAGCGGCCGUGAGUGUACUAUAUUAUAUAGGAGAAACACUUCUUGCAGAAAUGGACAAGAUUUACCUGGACUCUAACGUGGAGAAUGAUAACACAGAGCACAUCAGAGGAAAACGACUGUCCUCUAUUUUAAAGGCUCCACGAAAUCCUCUUGAUGAUCUGGGAAAUGGGAAUGAACUCACUCAGGAUCUCAACAUAGAAAAACGUAGGAAAAGCUCCCGACGUGUCAGCUUUGCCGACACCAUAAACUGCAGGGUCUUCCAUCGAGAUCUUAAGAAUAAUGCAGCAGAAAGAGAAAAUGAAGGUAACGUUCCUUUCUGUCCUGAUGGAUUCCCCAGACUUAGCAACAAGAUUACAACCCAGAAUUUAGGAAGUCAGGCUUGUCAGUCACAGAUAGGGAACAAUAUGGUCAGCUGUUUAUAAUAGACAGGAUAACAACCCAUUGGUUACUAGCACUGUUGGACCUGUUAGCUCAGAGUAGAAAUUACUUUAUUUUUAGACAACAGGCGGCUAGAACAAAAUCUGCUUCAGUGAUUUAGAUUAAAAGAAGGCUGUGAAGAAUGUCACAUUCAGUCUGUCAAAGAUUACCUAGUAAAAAUCUGAAAAGCUAAUGCUUUUUCAAGUACUUUGCUUCCCUGGGUUUUUGCCACAAUAAAAAGAAACAUCAAAGGUGAGAACUUCA
rnacentral:lncRNA from 1 species